rnacentral:sRNA from 1 species
AUGUACUACUCGUACACCCCGGUUCCGCUGCGCCGGCCAUGCCACUUGCGAGUUGGUCGCGGUAUCGUGUCGACU